CACGUAUUUAGCCGGGGCUUCUUAGUCAGGUACCGUCAUCUUCUUCCCUGCUGAUAGGGCUUUACGCGCCGAGGCGCUCCAUCGCCCACGCGGCGUCGCUGCAUCAGGGUUCCCCCCAUUGUGCAAUAUCCCCCACUGCUGCCUCCCGUAGGAGUUUGGGCCGUGUCUCAGUCCCAAUGUGGCCGCCCACCCUCUCAGGCCGGCUACUGAUCGUCGCCUUGGUGGGCCGUUGCCCCGCCAACAAGCUAAUCAGACGCGGGCCCAUCCCGCACCGCCAAGGCUUUCCGCCUCGCCCCAUGCGGGGCGUGGCGCCCAUGCGGUAUUAGCAGCCGUUUCCGGCUGUUGUCCCCCAGUGCGGGGUAGGUUGCCCACGCGUUACUCACCCGUCCGCCACUGGGCGGCGCCAACUUCCGCCCCGAAGGGCCUCAGCCGGCGCGCCCCGUUCGACUUGCAUGUGUUAGGCACGCCGCCAGCGUUCAUCCUGAGCCAGGAUCAAACUC
rnacentral:rRNA from 1 species